UACGAAGGGGGCUAGCGUUGCUCGGAAUCACUGGGCGUAAAGGGUGCGUAGGCGGGUCUUUAAGUCAGGGGUGAAAUCCUGGAGCUCAACUCCAGAACUGCCUUUGAUACUGAAGAUCUUGAGUUCGGGAGAGGUGAGUGGAACUGCGAGUGUAGAGGUGAAAUUCGUAGAUAUUCGCAAGAACACCAGUGGCGAAGGCGGCUCACUGGCCCGGUACUGACGCUGAGGCACGAAAGCGUGGGGAGCGAACAGG
rnacentral:rRNA from 1 species